rnacentral:rRNA from 1 species
CCUACGGGAGGCAGCAGUGGGGAAUAUUGGGCAAUGGACGCAAGUCUGACCCAGCAACGCCGCGUGAAGGAAGAAGGCUUUCGGGUUGUAAACUUCUUUUAAGGGGGAAGAGCAGAAGACGGUACCCCUUGAAUAAGCCACGGCUAACUACGUGCCAGCAGCCGCGGUAAUACGUAGGUGGCAAGCGUUGUCCGGAUUUACUGGGUGUAAAGGGCGUGCAGCCGGAGAGACAAGUCAGAUGUGAAAUCCACGGGCUCAACCCGUGAACUGCAUUUGAAACUGUUUCCCUGGAGUGUCGGAGAGGUAAUCGGAAUGCCUUGUGUAGCGGUGAAAUGCGUAGAUAUAAGGAAGAACACCAGUGGCGAAGGCGGAUGACUGGACGAUAACUGACGGUGAGGCGCGAAAGCGUGGGGAGCAAACAGGAUUAGAUACCCUUGUAGUC